rnacentral:tRNA from 1 species
GCCGCCAUCGUCUAGAGGCCUAGGACACCCCCAAGUUCAGGGGGCAACGCUUGUUCGAAUCAAGCUGGCGGCCCCA